CAGGGCCGCGCGCGCCCCCGACGAAAAAGGGCUGGACCUUGUGGGGGCCGUGCGCGUGCGGCCUCGCUCGCCGGAGCUCCGCCUUCCGGUCCCAACGCGUGGCUGGACGUCCGCUUGGGUUGGAAGGGUCCUCUGGGUGGUGACUUGCACCUGGUCUCCUUCUGACCCGGAGAGGGCAAGGGGCUGUGGAGGCGGGUUAGCGAGCUGCGGGUGGCCGCGGGUUAGUUUUCGGGCGCGCGCUUAGUAAUCGUUUCCACUGCUCUGCUUGGAAAGACUCGAACUGAGACGCCAGGUAAUUUUAGGAAGACGUGAUUUUCAAAGCUAAUUAUGAAAACAUUUGUCGUAGGAAUCAGUGGAGUGACAAAUGGUGGGAAGACAACAUUGGCCAAGAAUUUGCAGAAACACCUCCCAAAUUGCAGUGUCAUAUCUCAGGAUGAUUUCUUUAAGCCAGAGUCUGAGAUAGAGACAGAUGAAAAUGGAUUUUUGCAGUAUGAUGUGCUUGAAGCGCUUAACAUGGAAAAAAUGAUGUCGGCCGUUUCCUGCUGGAUGGAAAGCCCGAGACACACUCUGGUAUUGACAGACAGGGAAAAUGCUGAGGAAAAUCCCAUUUUAAUCAUCGAAGGUUUCCUUCUCUUUAAUUAUAAGCCCCUUGACCCUCUCUGGAACAGAAGCUAUUUUCUGGCCAUUCCCUAUGAAGAAUGUAAAAGGAGGAGGAGUUUCCUAUGUGUUUUGAUAGUACAAGGGUCUACGAGCCCCCAGAUCCCCCAGGGUACUUUGACGGUCAUGUGUGGCCCAUGUAUCUAAAACACAGAAGGGAAAUAGAGGACAUCACGUGGGAAAUUGUUUACCUAGAUGGAACAAAAUCUGAAGAGGACCUCUUUUCAGAAGUGUAUGAAGAUCUAAAACAAGAACUAGCAAAGCAGAAGUGUUUAUAAGUAACAGCAUGAAGAUGGAAUGCAUUGAAUCCUUCCUGGGGUGAAUUAGGAAAUUCAAAGAAAUGUAUUCAAGAACUUUAACCAUGAUACAAUAUAUACUGUGGCACAAUGACAGCUGUUGUCUGUUUGUUUUUAAUGCCAUGUAGAGCAGUAAAUAGUUAUCAUGCCAAUAGACAGGAAUUUACCUUAAUGAGUAGUUCUCAUUUUAGGGAGUGCAUAGAUAUAACACAGAGUACAGAAAACUAAUCAGUUGCUCUAUACCAAUGGUUUUCACACUUUUCUGAUUGGAACAGAGUAAGAUAUAAAGUUUACAUCACAGUCCAGUAUAUGUACAAUCUAUUGUGUGUGUGUGUAUGUGUAUAUGAAUACACAUACAUACAUAUCAAGUAUCAUAAAACAUUUACAUACAAUGCACUCUGAUAGUUUUUUUUUUAGUGUUGGUUUCAACCCACACUUUGGAAAAUGCUGCUCUCUCGCAUCCCAUGCUAACACACACUAAAUGCAAAUGACAGCAUAGCUGGGAAUAAUACAUUGAGUAAAUCAACAGUUUACUACAGUUUUUGUUUUUACAUGUGUCUAAUUCUACUGUAUCAUUGUGUCAUUUAUGUUGAGACUUUGUUACAGAUGAGGGGGGUUCCCUGUGUUUUUUUGUUUUUGUGAAACCAGUGGUCUAAAAUCACAGAAAUAAAUAGUUGCUUCAAUGAUAUAUAUAUAGCACAGAGGACUUUUUUUUUUUUGAAAAGCAUGGGCAGGAGAUCCAAAUUGUGUGAUUUUCUUUUUUUUUGAGAACUCUUUCAAUGCUGGAGCUUAAAUUAUGUCCU